UGGGGAAUUUUGCACAAUGGGGGAAACCCUGAUGCAGCGACGCCGCGUGAUUUAGAAGGCCUUCGGGUUGUAAAAAUCUUUUUUAUGGGAAGAUAAUGACGGUACCAUAAGAAAAAGCCCCGGCUAACUACGUGCCAGCAGCCGCGGUAAUACGUAGGGGGCUAGCGUUGUCCGGAAUCACUGGGCGUAAAGGGUUCGCAGGCGGAAAUGCAAGUCAGGUGUAAAAGGCAGUAGCUUAACUACUGUAAGCAUUUGAAACUGCAUAUCUUGAGAAGAGUAGAGGUAAGUGGAAUUUUUAGUGUAGCGGUGAAAUGCGUAGAUAUUAAAAAGAAUACCGGUGGCGAAGGCGACUUACUGGGCUCAUUCUGACGCUGAGGAACGAAAGCGUGGGUAGCAAACAGG
rnacentral:rRNA from 1 species